rnacentral:rRNA from 1 species
UACGAGGGGGGCAAGCGUUGUUCGGAUUUAUUGGGCGUAAAGGGUGCGUAGGCGGUUUGGCAAGUCUUGUGUGAAAUCUUCGGGCUCAACCCGAAGCCUGCACAAGAAACUGCCGGGCUUGAGUAUGGGAGAGGUGAGUGGAAUUUCCGGUGUAGCGGUGAAAUGCGUAGAUAUCGGAAGGAACACCUGUGGCGAAAGCGGCUCACUGGACCAUAACUGACGCUGAUGCACGAAAGCUAGGGGAGCAAACAGG